AAAUAUUUAUAUUUUCUAAUUUUUCUUCACCUUCUGAGCUGAGAAAACACUGCAUCACCAUGAUGCUGGGCAGCAUGGCUGUGCCUCCUGUGGAGCUGAACUACAAGUAGAAGAUGGUCACGACCUGUGCUACGCCUGCCGAGGCGUUGGCCACCUGCGUGUGAGGCCUUUUCUGACCCCUGCAUUAACUGCGUCAUCCUCUUUGUCCUGUUUGUGAAGGAAAAGUAGCUGCUGGAGAUGAUCGUGGACUACAGGAAAAGGAGGGCCGAACAGGCCUCCAUUAACAUCGACGGGGCUGUAGUGGUGCGGGUCGAGAGUUUCAAGUUCCUUGGUGUCCACAUCACCAACAAACUAUCAUGGUCCAAACACACCAAGACAGUUGUGAAGAGGGCAUGACAACACCUUUUCCCCCUCGAGACUGAAAAGAUUUGGUAUGGGUUCCAAGAUCCUCAAAAAGUUCUACAGCUGCACCAUCGAGAGCACUGGUUGCAUCACCGCCUGGCAUGGCAACUGCUCGGCAUCCGACCGUAAGGCUACAGAGGUUAGUGCGUAUGGCCCAAUACAUCACUGGGGCCAAGCUUCCUGCAUCCAGGACCUCUAUACUAGGCAGUGUCAGAGGAAGGCCCCAAAAAUUGUCAAAGACUCCAGUCAUCCAAGUCAUAGACUGUUCUCUCUGCUAUCGCACGGCAAGCGGCAAGGCUAGGUCGAAUAGGCCUCUUAACAGCUUCUACCCCCAAGCUAUAAGACUGCUGAACAAUUCAUCAAAUGGCCACCCGGACUAUUUACAUUGAACCCCCCCCCCAUUUUUACACUGCUGCUACUCUCCGUUUAUUAUCUAUGCAUUGCCACUUUACCCCUACCUACAUGUACAAAUUACCUCGACUAACCUGUACCCCCGCACAUUGACUUGGUACUGGUACCCCCUGUAUAUAGCCUCGUUAUUCUUAUGUAAUUUUGUUGAGUACUUUUUAUUACAUUUUUUACUUUAGUUUAUUUAGUAAGUAUUUUCUUAGCUCUUUCUUGAACUUCUCUGUUGGUUAAGGGCUUGUAAGUAAGCAUUUCACGGUAAGGUGGUAAGGUCUACACCGGUUGUAUUCGGAGCAUGUGACAAAUAACAUUUGAUUUGAUAUAUUUGAUUUACUACCUUGGCAGCAUCUGAUGGGAUCCCUAAUAAAUACAAAAAAUACAUAUAAACAGUAUACACAGUAUAUUAUACUGUAUAUAUUGUGUGUAUCUGUGUGUGCAUGUGUUCCUACUGAGACGGAUGGCGUCUCCAAAUUAAGAAUAUGCCACUGACUUCAGAGCAACUGUCUUGGUUAGGCAGGGAGCUUACCUCCAGCCAGGUUUUAUGAGCAGAAUCAGAGAGCCUGACCUCCCUCUGAAUGUCUGUCUGUACGUACCAACCACCAACUUGUCUCGCCGGUUAGUUGUUUUUAUUGGGUGAUGUUUGUUUUCAUGAGCAAUACAUGUGAGAUCACGUUACAUUGCCGCGGAGCUGAUGCAAAAAAUAUGUUAUUGAGACCAAUACAUCACUGAGAGUAGGCUGGUUUUGAGGGGCGUGUGUGGGCAUUGUCCUCUCAGUAUUGGCUGACAUUUAAACGGCAUUCACGUAAAUAACUGGCUUGUUAAAGAGCCUUCCCCUGUUUGUAAGGUUCCAGAGAUGUGGGUGAAAACAUGGUGAUUUGCAGCCUGCCAGUCUGUUAUCAACCCCUCAUGUUCUCCACUGACCUAAACAUUACUGCAGAAUCUUCUCUUCAAAAAGCAUCCACUGCAUUCUACUCAUUAAGUAUUGAAUACAGAUGCCACCUUGUCCUUACUAAGCCAUGACUACUGGCUUCCUACAUAAAAAAAUACUAUAGUAUUCUCUGUAGUGUUUUUGCUGACUUUACUGUAGUAUUCACUGUCGUAACUAAAGUCUGCAAAAUGUCUGUAAAACACUAAAGUCAGCAAAAAAACACUACUGUGGAAACUAGUAUAUUGUAGUGAACUCAAGCAUCUACAGUUAACUAUUGUAUAAAUACUGUAGUAAAAUAACUAGUAUAUACUAUAGUAAUCCAUGUAGUAUUUACUGUAUUUAUAAUGUAGUAUUUACUGUAGUGUUUUUGUGGACUGUACUACUGAAGUAUUUACUGUAGUGCUUUUGUGGACAUUACUGUAGUAUUUACUAUAGUGUUUUUAUUUUAUUAUCUUCGACACAAAACUGUAGGCUUUCCGCUUCAGGAAACCUACUGGAGAAACACUAAAGGAGCACAUUUUCGAUGACCUGUAGGUAGGUAUAGGACUUGUGCUGUUUUCCAUGACCUGUAGGGAACACAAUACAGAAUUUUGUCUAUUCUUGGCAUGUAGGUUUCUCACUUGUGUGGUACAAAUUGCAAUAUGGGGGAGGAAAAUGGGCAGGGUAUAUGUAAAAUAACUGUAGUUAAACUGUACUGUUUUUGCAGACAUUACUGUAGUAUUUUACAGUAAGUACUACACAAUCAAUGGAUAGGACAGUGUGUAG